rnacentral:rRNA from 1 species
CGGCGGACGGGUGAGUAACACGUGGAUAACCUACCUAUAAGACUGGGAUAACUUCGGGAAACCGGAGCUAAUACCGGAUAAUAUAUUGAACCGCAUGGUUCAAUAGUGAAAGACGGUUUUGCUGUCACUUAUAGAUGGAUCCGCGCCGCAUUAGCUAGUUGGUAAGGUAACGGCUUACCAAGGCAACGAUGCGUAGCCGACCUGAGAGGGUGAUCGGCCACACUGGAACUUAGACACGGUCCAGACUCCUACGGGAGGCAGCAGCU